UACGUAGGUGGCAAGCGUUGUCCGGAAUUAUUGGGCGUAAAGCGCGCGCAGGUGGUUUCUUAAGUCUGAUGUGAAAAGCCCACGGCUCAACCGUGGAGGGUCAUUGGAAAACUGGGGAACUUGAGUGCAGGAGAGAAGAGUGGAAUUCCACGUGUAGCGGUGAAAAUGCGUAGAGAUGUGGAGGAACACCAGUGGCGAAGGCGACUCUUUGGCCUGUAAACUGACACUUGAGGCGCGAAAAGCGUGGGGGAGC
rnacentral:rRNA from 1 species